GAUGAACGCUGGCGGGGUGCCUAAUACAUGCAAGUCGAGCGAACGGACGAGAAGCUUGCUUCUCUGAUGUUAGCGGCGGACGGGUGAGUAACACGUGGAUAACCUACCUAUAAGACUGGGAUAACUUCGGGAAACCGGAGCUAAUACCGGAUAAUAUUUUGAACCGCAUGGUUCAGAAGUGAAAGACGGUCUUGCUGUCACUUAUAGAUGGAUCCGCGCUGCAUUAGCUAGUUGGUAAGGUAACGGCUUACCAAGGCAACGAUGCAUAGCCGACCUGAGAGGGUGAUCGGCCACACUGGAACUGAGACACGGUCCAGACUCCUACGGGAGGCAGCAGUAGGGAAUCUUCCGCAAUGGGCGAAAGCCUGACGGAGCAACGCCGCGUGAGUGAUGAAGGUCUUCGGAUCGUAAAACUCUGUUAUUAGGGAAGAACAUAUGUGUAAGUAACUGUGCACAUCUUGACGGUACCUAAUCAGAAAGCCACGGCUAACUACGUG
rnacentral:rRNA from 1 species